UGUGGCUGUGCAGGGUCUAUCCCCCACAGCUGCCCUCACGGGCUGGGCUGGUGUUGAGUGCCUGUAGCUUUUCCACACUAAGGUUGGAAAAGCCAGCUGUUGGUGGGUCUAUGAUUCCGGGGUCAGGAGAAUGGUGCCUCCAUGUUUAGGGACUCCAGCCUUAUAUUCUCCUUCUGUACUGCUCUAGUAAAGGUUUCCCAUGAGACUCUGCCUCUUGGAAAAGCUUCUGCCUGAACACCCAGGUUUUUCCGUACAUAAUCUGGAGUCUAGAUGCAGGCUUCCAAGCUUCUAGUUUUGUCCUCUGUGCAGCUGCUGGCUUAACACUAUGGGGAAGCCACCAAGGCUUGGAGCUUGCACCCCUGAAGCAGUGAUGCAAGCUGUACCUGUGCAUCUUUCAGCCCUGGCUGGAGCUGGAUCUGCAGGGAUGCAGGCAGCAGUGUCCUGAGGCUGCACACAGAGGGGGGUCAUGGAACUGGCCCAGGAAACCAUUCUUCUCUCCUAGCCCCAGGGCCUGUAACAGCAAGGGCUGCUGCAAAGGUCUCUGAAAUGCCUUCAAGGCCUUUUCCCUAUUGUCCUGUC
rnacentral:lncRNA from 1 species